rnacentral:rRNA from 1 species
CCUACGGGUGGCAGCAGUGAGGAAUAUUGGUCAAUGGACGUAAGUCUGAACCAGCCAAGUAGCGUGCAGGAAGACGGCCCUAUGGGUUGUAAACUGCUUUUGUAUGGGGAUAAAGUCAAUCACGUGUGAUUGUUUGCAGGUACCAUACGAAUAAGGACCGGCUAAUUCCGUGCCAGCAGCCGCGGUAAUACGGAAGGUUCGGGCGUUAUCCGGAUUUAUUGGGUUUAAAGGGAGCGUAGGCCGGAGAUUAAGUGUGUUGUGAAAUGUAGACGCUCAACGUCUGACUUGCAGCGCAUACUGGUUUCCUUGAGUACGCACAACGUUGGCGGAAUUCGUCGUGUAGCGGUGAAAUGCUUAGAUAUGACGAAGAACUCCGAUUGCGAAGGCAGCUGACGGGAGCGCCACUGACGCUUAAGCUCGAAGGUGCGGGUAUCGAACAGGAUUAGAUACCCCGGUAGUC